rnacentral:rRNA from 1 species
AGUGAACGCUGGCGGUAGGCCUAACACAUGCAAGUCGAACGGCAGCACAGUAAGAGCUUGCUCUUACGGGUGGCGAGUGGCGGACGGGUGAGGAAUACAUCGGAAUCUACUUUUUCGUGGGGGAUAACGUAGGGAAACUUACGCUAAUACCGCAUACGACCUACGGGUGAAAGCAGGGGAUCUUCGGACCUUGCGCGAUUGAAUGAGCCGAUGUCGGAUUAGCUAGUUGGCGGGGUAAAGGCCCACCAAGGCGACGAUCCGUAGCUGGUCUGAGAGGAUGAUCAGCCACACUGGAACUGAGACACGGUCCAGACUCCUACGGGAGGCAGCAGUGGGGAAUAUUGGACAAUGGGCGCAAGCCUGAUCCAGCCAUACCGCGUGGGCGAAGAAGGCCUUCGGGUUGUAAAGCCCUUUUGUUGGGAAAGAAAAGCAGCAGGUUAAUACCCCGCUGUUCUGACGGUACCCAAAGAAUAAGGACCGGCUAACUUCGUG